rnacentral:rRNA from 1 species
AUUGAACGCUGGCGGCAUGCCUUACACAUGCAAGUCGAACGGCAGCACGGGGGCAACCCUGGUGGCGAGUGGCGAACGGGUGAGUAAUACAUCGGAACGUGUCCUGUUGUGGGGGAUAACCCACCGAAAGGUGAGCUAAUACCGCAUGAUCUGGAGACAGCAAAGCAGGGGACCGCAAGGCCUUGCGCGAUUGGAGCGGCCGAUGUCCGAUUAGCUAGUUGGCGGGGUAAAGGCCCACCAAGGCGACGAUCGGUAGCUGGUCUGAGAGGAUGAUCAGCCACACUGGGACUGAGACACGGCCCAGACUCCUACGGGAGGCAGCAGUGGGGAAUUUUGGACAAUGGGGGCAACCCUGAUCCAGCCAUGCCGCGUGAGUGAAGAAGGCCUUCGGGUUGUAAAGCUCUUUCGGUGGGAACGAAACGGUUACGACUAAUACUUGUGACUACUGACGGUACCUACAGAAGAAGCACCGGCUAACUACGUGC